rnacentral:lncRNA from 1 species
ACUUGCAAGCAACUCACUGUGCUUUGGUACUGGACUAACUGAAUUUUUAAUUCAAGGAUGGAAGGCUUCUGGGCACAUUCAAGUACUUGCAAAGUCAGAGUGUGAUCGAGAUGGGAUUGACCACUCCAAGAGUUGGAGAAGAAUGAGUCACUGUAUUUCAAUUUAGCAAAAUCUUGGCCAGGGUAAUCCAUCAGAUGGAUUUGAUAUUUUGAAAUACAAUGUGGACAACCUGAUCAGAGUUGAUAGUUAAACUCUGGGGUGUCCUAUGAUCAUUUUGGUCAAGGAGAUGAAUUAUAUGAAAACUAUAUCUGCAUGGGUUCUAAGGAUGUUGUUCUACACAUUCGACCUAUCCGGUCGUCGGGUACCAUUGCUAGAUUGUCACUUCGAUUGGUAUAGAAAUUUGUUUCUAUGCUACCGGCUUAGGUUCGGACCUAUGAGAUCACACACAUUAGAGUUCAUGAUCCGAUCAGAUGGUUGAUCAACGAUUAAGAAUCAUUCUAGGGUUAAAUGAUCAAUACGA